rnacentral:lncRNA from 1 species
CUGAGAUGCUGCAGUCUACCAAGCUCCCAGGGAUGCUGCUGCUGUUGCUGGCACGCGACCCACGUGUUAAGCAGCAGCCGGGAGGGUCAGCUGGUUCAAGCGUUUGUUUCACAUGUAUUUCAUGAGGGCUCUCUACAUGCCAGGUGCUGGGACACAAUGGAGAGCAAGACAGGUGUGGCCCUGCCCUCUGAUGAUGGCUGAUGUGGUCCGUUCUCCUCAGUUGUUUGACUUUGUCUCCACGUUUCAAACUGAGAUUCCCAGGAGUGAGGAUCUGUUUUCCCAGCCUGGACACAGUGUCUGCUCCAGACCUGCUAAACUGCUGGUUUGGAGGGGCUCCCCAAACAGGCCUGGGCUAAGCAGGAGAGUCAUGUGAGGACAGAACAGUGGCCAGCUCUACACAGGUGGGAGGCACAGUUCCUGUUGUGCAGUUGGGGAAACCGACACCCGCAGGAGUACAGCGAUGUGCUGAGAUCUUGCAGCUGGCAAGGUGGAGAUUCAGGGCUUACAUCAUGUUCUCUUGGACUCUGACUCUGUGGUUUUUCCACAGCUCCACUCCCCAGAGCUUUGCCGUGGCUCCCGCAUCUGUUCCACUGCCACACUUAAUUCUGCUGAGAUGACCAGAGCAGGAAGCAGGAAAGCUGACUUCCCUGAAAGAGCCCGUGGUCCUCCUGAGCAUGACCAGACCGACCCACAGAGCUGAGAUGGGAGGAAGCAUGUUGGCCAGGCUGGGGCAGGGGCUGCUGGUUCUGGGACUGUUGCUACCUCUGCAGACAGCUGCCAAGACAACCAUGCAAGCUGCCACCACUGAGGGUGUCAGUGCCCUGCAGUCUUCAGCUGGUGUCCCCGUCUUGUCUCUCUCCCUUGUUCGUCAUCUUUAUUGUUGAGACUCAGGCUGAGCAAUAGCACUUCUCCAACUCACCUUUUCAAUCCCAACCCACAUGGCAUCUCAAGGAUAAACAACAAUAACAGGGCUUCAUCAAAGCUACCAAUGCCACCCCAUAUCUUCUUGAAAUGGACAAUGUUGCAAAGCCCACAUUUGACUCUUUUGAAGAGCAUCAGGAGAACUUGACCCUUUGACCCGUGCCUCUGUGAAAUCAGCUGGAGUUUCGCAUGCCAGGUGAAAAGGAUAGAGAACAGCCACAAUUAGUGAAAGACACGGUUUCAUUAAAUGGGGCUUAAGAAAUACGGACUCUCAAAACUCCACCUUGAAAAAAACUGAUUUCACCCUUAUCUAGAGAAAAAGGAUGGGAUGUGGAAUGGAGAUUGUUUUCAUUUUGAUUCUUCAAAUCUGUAAGACCAUAAAAAUGAUUAUGUAAUAUAAAAAGCUGCC